CACACUUGGAAACAUCAGAGACAGAGGAUUAUAUACAUACAUAUGCACACACACACACACACACAAUUUAACAAGACGACACAAUUGAAGUAGAAUAUGCAUCCAAACAUGGAAUGGGGGAGGACAGUAUCAAAAAAAUCAAGACAGAAUCUACAAGAUCUUCUGUUCGUGCAAGAAACUUCGAAAAAUGCAGAUGGUUGAAUUGGUUGCUAGGAACCAGCAGAACGAUUGACAAUGCCAAAACAAAUAUCUAGAAGUUUGUAUCUAGAAUAACAGAUGUUUUAGCACCAGAGCAACUUGGAACAGUGACUUCAUGAUGACAGAGGUACAUGGAACAUUUUAGUUCUUAAUCUUGUUCAUUUUGAUACAUGCUCAAAAGAUAUUCAGCAAUUCAUGGUUAAUUAUCUAAUAAAGAGAAUUGAUUUAUAACAAAUUCUGCAUGCUUUUCCAUUUUAACUAGUAAAUAUAUUACCUGAGAUUACCUAUGUAGCUCUAGGAGCCCACAGAAAUGGAGCUCUCAUCACAAUCUUGGAGAUUAUGAUACUUAAUCUUGAAAAUGAUAAAACUGGUGCAUGCUAGUUUGCUUUGGGGAUUUCCAUCCAUCUUUCUUACAAUUGCAAGCACCAAAUAUUACAAACAUAAAAAUGACUUAGCACGAGUAUGAUAAGAAGAUCACAUGAAGCACUAAUGAGUAAAAGUUAUAAAUGAUAGAUAAGAAUUAUAAAGAUAGGAACCAAGAUUUGCCAUACUAGUCAUUACCAUACCGUACCAGUAUAUGGUACUAUACCUUACCAACACUCGGUACACCGAACCUUACUAUACCAUAUUGCAUGCAGACACUAUAAGAGGAUGGGAACAGUACCAGUCCGAUACUUCCAAGCAGCGGACCUUGAUAGGAACCAUGAUGUUGAUCCUUUUUUUUUACAUAUUUUUAAAAUUGUAAAUGAAGGAAACUACUAAGGAAUUAAGAGAGUCAUAUUGCUAUAAAGAUUUGCUAAACAAGGGCAUCAUUUUCAGUCUCAGAGUUGGUGCUCUUUGUAUUGCUUCGCUUAACCUCUUUCAAGUUCCACUUACUGAUAUUCCAUGCCACUGUCAAUCUUAGCAAAUAUUCGGUGGUCGAGGUAAACGGUUUGACUAGACAUUAAAAAUCCUUGUUUUAUAGCGAUAGCUUACCAUAAAAAUGUUUGAAGCCCCAAUAAUAAGAGCACAAGGAUCUAAAUAAAUAUGAAAUCUUGAGGAGGAGAAUUAGAUCUAUGUUUUUGUCUAUUCCAUGUCACUUGUUAUCAACCCUAAAAGCCUUUUGCCCCUCCAUUUCUUCCUUCUUAGCUUUAUCCACUAAUUUUGGAGAUGAAUUUUAAGAAUACACUGAGCAAACUCCACGAUGAAUACAGGAUGAAGUACAAAACUUUUGAAGAGACAUUAUGCUCUCUACAAUCAAAAGUUGGAAUUGCCCUAACCUAAAGAUCUACAAAUAUUUUAGGAUGAAAAUAUAUUUGUAGAUAUCUCUUUGAAGAGAAAUAAAAAUGUGAUAAGAACUAUGGAACUCCAAUAGAUCUUUCAAGUGAUGACAUGAUGGAAAUUAAAAAAAUUUCCAAAGAUUUGCCUCAUGGAAUCACCGAUGAUUUGAAAACAGCAGAUGCUGAAAAUGAUUAAAGAUCUAAUGGAAAAUUUCCAAUACAAAAGAAAGAAAGAGGGGGCUUCUACUGGGCUCGAAAGAAAGUGGGGGCUUCCGCCAAAUAGAUCAAGUCUGAAGCAUCAGAUCUUCUUACAGCAAGGAAGACCUACUAUUGGUGGGAGCAGAAACUCACUGAUCAUGUUUAGAAGUCUUCCAUGAAGGAACCUACAAGAAAGAAGGGAGCAAAGAGGUGCAAAUGCCUUAAUGAGGUCUCCCGAAUUCACCCGACAAGAGGACUCAACUAAGUGCUGGUUACUCCAACGAGGGGCGUAAAUGAGCUGAGCUUACUCAGGCCAGCUCAAACCCAGCUUGAACAUCAAUGUGGCUGGCUCGAGCUUGGCUUAAGCUCGUCAGAAGCUGGCUUGGUUGAGCUCAAGCUUGGCUCAUCCACACCCAAGCCGGCUUGAUUAUGCUCCGAUAAAGUUGAAGAUGAGGGAAGACAAGGAAUAGAUUUGGUGAAAAUGCUUGUCGGAUGCAUGCAGCCUCAAGGGAGCGUCUAAAAAAAAGGAAUAGUCAACAGUAACUAGUAGUGAGGGAAUGAUGACCUAAGCGAAGGGGCUGGGACAAGCAAGUCUAGCAAUGAAAUUAAGGUGUUUUUUUUUUUCUGUUUUUCUUUUUCCUGGCAGGGGGAAGGGGAGAGGGAAGAGGCCUCUUGUGCACUUGGAGGCAAUAAAGUUGGGACCAGCAUUGUGAGAUUGGUGUUGCAGAUGCUUAUCUAAUAGCUAAGCGAUACAUCUCAGACAUUAGAUCUCUAUUUAAUGGAUGAGACAUAACUUACUUUAGAACUAAUUAUAUUUAUGUACAGCUCAUAUUAUUAUAAAAUAUGAUAACAAAGACAUAAAAAGUCAUUUUUAUAAAUAAAUAACUACUACAUAUAACAAGUUUAAAUACCAGAGUCAAACCAUGUCCUGUUUUUCCAUCAGAUUUGUACAUACUAGUACUGAUGAUAUGUACCGAAGCUAACAGUAUCAAAAAGAAUGAAAAACCAUUGGCACUGACCAAUAUGGUACAGUCAGUGCAUACCGGUAUGGCAUCCCGACACCUAACCAGUGUUGGCUCCAAACAGGAAUGAUACUGAACUGAUGGUGCCAUCCCACUUUAGCUGUUUUUGGAUCCUAUUAUAUAACUUUAAAAUAUUAUGUAAUAUGAAUAUAAUUUUAUAUUUUUUUAUCAAGAUUAAUCGAACUAAGUACAAGCAUGUAAGGCAUAGCUUGAGUUCAAUUCAUAUAUCUUUCAAGCUCGGAAUCAUAGACCAAGCUUGGCUUCUUUACUAGAUUAGCGAGCCCAUAUCGAGCUGAAUUUUGAGCUAAAAACAAGUUACUCACAAAGAGAUCACUCAUUUGACAACCCUGACUCCGAGGAUUAUUUUCCUCCUAUCAAUUGAGUGCAAUGAGGAGCUUGUUAUCAGAUACAACUCUUUCUUUUAUAGUCUAACAGAGAGUUAAGUCACAUUAGAACUUCCACUUAAGUAGGUUUGGGCAUGUUUGGUGUUGCUUUAAAAAGCCCUUUUAGGAGUUUUAAAGUAAAAAAUACUUUCUAAAAGAAAAAUUAUUUGGUAAAAAUCAAAAGUGCUUCUACAAGCAGUGAAAAUGUGCCCUUAUGGAGAAACCAUAAAAACUAGCUUCUAGCUUCUGCUCUUGCGAUCUCGCUCCUUGUCUUAGGAAUAUGGUAAGCCCUUCCAUAAAAAUAGUCCUACAAUAUAUGCUUACCAGACACCAUAUAUACCAAAAAAUACCUUUUAUUUAAAAAUUAAUAAAAGGAUUUUUGCGAUCUACCAUAACCAUCCACCCAUUUCCCAAAUUUGGGGCUGGCUGAUUUUUGAGAAUUGCCUUUCAAAAAAGAUAAACAAUAUAAUAUCUAAGUUUAUUGGCAAGUAGUAAAGAGGGUAUAAUCCCUUAUUUUCCUAGGCACAGCUUAUCAUUGCUUGGUCAUUAAUUUGAUAUAGUAGGUUGAGCUGACAAAAAAUUGUUCAGUUUGGGUUGCACUAUGAUCAUUAUGUUAUGUCCAUAUUAAGUCACUUACUUUUUUCUCUUUUUUAUUUGUACUGACUUCUGUUUUUCUUUAAUUAAUUAUAGUAUACCACGUCGAAAUGUAUUCUUAAGUGUUUUUGGAUAUAGUUUUCAUUGAUGCUGAUGCUCAUUAUUGUCUUAGGCUUGCUUAUUUCCUGUUAUUAAGUUCAUUUUUAUACAAAUUUCAAGCCAAUAGUGCUGAAGUUGCAUUUCAUGCUUAUACAGUUUUAUUGAAUUAUGUGAAAAAUAGGCUAAUAUCUAUGAUGGGUAGCAAUAAAAACACAGCUGAAGUUUCAAGUACACUUUGUUCUCAAGCUAUGGAGCCCUCUAAUACAGAUAGCUCCCAAGCAAGCUAAAAAAGGAGGUCGGAGAGGCAGAAACAGUUAACACGUAAUGUGACUUUAAAAGAUCGUGUUACAUUGAAUGAGUUGACUCCCUAUUCAUUUGAUCAAGAGAGAAGCUAUGAAGAUCUUACAAGAAUGGUAAUUCUACAAGAGUUGCCAUUUACAACAGUUGAGCAUCCAACUUUUCAGAAAUUUGUUAGGAAUCUUAGACCUGAAUUUCGUGUUAUUUUAAGAACAACAUUGGCAUCUGAUUGCUUUAAAGCAUAUGAAAAGUAAAAAAAAAAAGACUUGAUAAUUUGUUUAAGGCAAACUAUGAAAGAAUCAGCUUAACAUCUGAUAUGUGGACAUCAAAUCAGACAUUGGGAUACAUGUGUCUCACUGCACAUUAUAUCACUAAUGAUUGAAAACCUAGGAAGCAUAUUAUCAAUUUUAAGAUGAUUCCUUCACGACAUACGGGCUUAGUCAUUAGUGAUUGUAUAGCUAGCUACAUUUUAUCUUGGAAUAUCAAGAAAAGGUUGGGUUCAAUCACCCUUGAUAAUCUGUCAGCAAAUAUAAUUGUGGCCAUGGAACUUCAAAGACAAUUUAGAAGAGAUUUACUUUUGAAUUGUAAGUUCUUUCAUGUGCGUUGCUAUGCACAUAUUCUUAAUUUAUUGUGAACGACAGGUUGAAGGUAGUGGAGGGUGCUAUUCAUAGGAUUCACGAGGCUGUUAAUUAUGUAAAAUCAUCUCAAGCAAGAUUGGAAACAUUUAUGGGAGAUGUGAAACAAUUAAAGAUGAAUGGAAAGAAAAGGAUAUGCAUAUAUGUACUUACUUGUUGGAAUUCUACGUAACUCAUGUUAGAUGAUGCUAUACAAUUCAAGAAUGUGUUUAUGCGACUUGAGGCAUGAGAUCCUAAUUUUGAAGAUGCGCCAACUAAGGAAGAUUGGUCUCAAGGCACUAUUAUUUGUAACUUCUUAAAAGUUUUCCAAGUUUUCCAUCAUAUAACUGAAAUUUUUUCACAAACAAAAAGUCUAACUACAAAUUUGUAUUUCUAUGAAAUUUGGAGAAUACAGAUGCUAUUGAUUCAAGAAUCUAGGAGUUCAAAUGCAGUUGUGACAAUGAUGGCCUUAAAGAUGCAAGAAAAAAAUGACAAAUAUUGGAAGGAGUGCUCUCACAUUCUUGCAGUAGGGGUUGUUCGUGCUUCAUUUGAAAUCAAGAAAGUAUAUGAUGUUCUUCAAAAUCUUUAUGAUGAUUAUACAAUUUCAUAUGACGCAAAUGUCUCUCAUGUUAAUGGAGGAGAUGAUGUCUACAUCUCAUGGUAGAGGAGAUGAGUCUUUUUUUUUUUUUGCAAGACUAUGAAAAAUUUAUUCAAGAAGAAGAAGUUGCCCAACCAUCCAAGUCAGAAAUAGAGAUGUAUUUGGAAGAGAAGGUUCAUCCAUUAGGGGAUCAAAAUUUUGACAUUCUAGAUUAUUGGAGGUUCAAUGAAUCAAAAGAUCCAAUAUUGUCUAGAAUGGUAUGUGAUAUCUUCACAAUUCAAGUUUCUACCAUUGCAUUUGAGUCUGCCUUCAGCACUGCUGGCAGAAUUUUGGAUGAUUUCCACAGUAGCCUAUCCCCUGAUAUGGUUGAGGCAUUGAUAUACAUACAAGAUUGGCUACGAGACACCUUGCCUCAUCUGCGGGUUCAAUUUCUAUUACAUCCCUAACUUUAUCAUAUA